rnacentral:rRNA from 1 species
GACGAACGCUGGCGGCGUGCUUAACACAUGCAAGUCGAACGAAGAGCGAUGGAAGCUUGCUUCUAUCAAUCUUAGUGGCGAACGGGUGAGUAACGCGUAAUCAACCUGCCCUUCAGAGGGGGACAACAGUUGGAAACGACUGCUAAUACCGCAUACGAUUCAACCUCGGCAUCGAGGAUGAAUGAAAGGUGGCCUCUAUUUAUAAGCUAUCACUGAAGGAGGGGAUUGCGUCUGAUUAGCUAGUUGGAGGGGUAACGGCCCACCAAGGCGAUGAUCAGUAGCCGGUCUGAGAGGAUGAACGGCCACAUUGGGACUGAGACACGGCCCAGACUCCUACGGGAGGCAGCAGUGGGGAAUCUUCCGCAAUGGACGAAAGUCUGACGGAGCAACGCCGCGUGAGUGAUGACGGCCUUCGGGUUGUAAAGCUCUGUUAAUCGGGACGAAAGGUCUUCUUGCGAAUAG